UACGUAGGGUGCGAGCGUUGUCCGGAAUUAUUGGGCGUAAAGAGCUCGUAGGCGGUCUGUCGCGUCGGAUGUGAAAAUCCAGGGCUUAACCCUGGACCUGCAUUCGAUACGGGCAGACUAGAGUUCGGUAGGGGAGACUGGAAUUCCUGGUGUAGCGGUGAAAUGCGCAGAUAUCAGGAGGAACACCGGUGGCGAAGGCGGGUCUCUGGGCCGUAACUGACGCUGAGGAGCGAAAGCAUGGGGAGCGAACAGG
rnacentral:rRNA from 1 species